rnacentral:rRNA from 1 species
GAUGAACGCUGGCGGCGUGCCUAAUACAUGCAAGUCGAGCGAACGGACGAGAAGCUUGCUUUUCUGAUGUUAGCGGCGGACGGGUGAGUAACACGUGGAUAACCUACCUAUAAGACUGGGAUAACUUCGGGAAACCGGAGCUAAUACCGGAUAAUAUUUUGAACCGCAUGGUUGAAAAGUGAAAGACGGUCUUGCUGUCACUUAUAGAUGGAUCCGCGCUGCAUUAGCUAGUUGGUAAGGUAACGGCUUACCAAGGCAACGAUGCAUAGCCGACCUGAGAGAGUGAUCGGCCACCCGGGAACUGAGACGGGGUCCAGACUCCUGCGGGACGCAGCAGUAGGGAAUCUUCCGCAAUGGGCGAAAGCAUGACGGAGCAACGCCGCGUGAGAGAUAGAGGUCUUCGGAUCGUAAAACUCUGUUAUUAGGGAAGAACAUAUGUGUAAGUAACUGUGCACAUCUUGACGGUAACUAAUCAGAAAGCCACGGCUAACUACGUG